rnacentral:rRNA from 1 species
UACGUAGGGUGCGAGCGUUGUCCGGAAUUACUGGGCGUAAAGAGCUCGUAGGUGGUUUGUCGCGUUGUCCGUGAAAACUCACAACUCAAUUGUGGGCGUGCGGGCGAUACGGGCAGACUGGAGUACUGCAGGGGAGACUGGAAUUCCUGGUGUAGCGGUGGAAUGCGCAGAUAUCAGGAGGAACACCAGCGGCGAAGGCGGCGCUCUGGGCCGGUACUGACACUGAGGAGCGAAAGCGUGGGUAGCAAACAGG